GCUGGGCGUGGUGGCCAACACCUGUAAUUCCAGCACCUUGGGAGGCUGAGGCAGGAGGAUCACAAGUGCAGAACCAGCCUCAGCAACUUAGUGAGGCCCUAAGUGACUUAGUGAGAUCCUAUCUCAA
rnacentral:sRNA from 1 species